rnacentral:rRNA from 1 species
GAUGAACGCUAGCGGCAGGCCUAAUACAUGCAAGUCGAACGGUAAGGCCCUUUCGGGGGUACACGAGUGGCGGACGGGUGCGUAACGCGUAUGCAACAUACCUUCAAGCGGGGGAUAUGCCAGGGAAACUUGGUGCAACACCCCAUAGCAUUUCGGGACCGCAUGGUCUUGGGAUUAAAUAUUUAUAGCUUGGAGAUUGGCAUGCGUGACAUUAGCUAGUUGGCGGGGUAACGGCCCACCAAGGCGACGAUGUCUAGCUGGUCUGAGAGGAUGAUCAGCCACACUGGGACUGAGACACGGCCCAGACUCCUACGGGAGGCAGCAGUAGGGAAUAUUGGACAAUGGGGGGAACCCUGAUCCAGCCAUGCCGCGUGAGUGAUGAAGGCCUUCGGGUUGUAAAGGCUCUUUUGGUCGGGGACGAUGAUGACGGUACCCGCAGAAUAAGCCCCGGCUAACUUCGUGCCAGCAGCCGCGGUAAU